UAAAGCACAGAGAGGUCUGGUAAAGCACAGGGAAGCAUUGUAAACAGUGGUAACAGUGGACAUUUAGUCUAUAGAAACAUGUGGAAAUGUAUAGCUAUGGAUAGGAAUGGCCGCUCAGAUCUCUGAAUAGGAAAAUAGGAAUCUCUAAAUAAAGUUCAUAAAAAUGUGUUUUCCCAGACUCUUCCUGAUCGGAUGGCCAGGAUUCCUGACUGGACAGAGUUACAGUCAGGAAGGACAAAGCAAAGCCUGCUGUUAACACUACACCACCAAUGAAGAACAGCUUGCUGCCCGAUGGUAAUCUCCUCUGUGUGUUUGCAGCUCAUUAGACCCAUUCAAAUGGAUUUAAACAGCCGUCCAUUCCCUGGAGGAGAGGCGAUGGUGUGCCGUAGCUAAAUCUAUAUCUAUGUGGAUAUGGACUUUUAAAAGGGGUCGUUGUGUGUGUCUCGCUGGCGCACACUCACACCUUCACAUAGGGGAGUUGGCCCGGGUGAAGGUCGCUCUCUAUUCCUGCUCAGCACGGUCAGUGGCGACACGGACUUUCACCAUGGCAGGGCUCUGCUGGCUGUUUCUUGGACAGUAGAGAGUACAGCAUGCGACAGAAAAACCAAGGAAUUAUACUGCAGACAAGAACUGAAGCUGACCUUUUCUGACAUGCAGUCGUGAGAUUGAAUUAGACUAGAAUCGCUUGUAUUUAAUAAAAUGCUGUUAUAAAAAAAAAA